UAGAAAGUGGGUGUGAAUUAUGGAUGGAAAGCCUUUUACACUUGUCCCUUGGCUAAAUUCUUUCUGAUUUGUCCUAACUUUUGAGACAGAAACUGUUUGGAACUCUGUUGACAAGUAAUAAAGUCUGGCUCUCGGUAGCUUGUUUGGAACUGAAAAGGACAUUGAGGCCCCUAAAUCAUUCUGUAAGGAAAAACAUGUUUUGUAACAAUGCGAAGCUGCAGAGAAGGCCUCUGUGCCACACUGGCCUUUCAUUGCCGGCUCCUGGUCUGAGUGGCUGGAGUUGAUCUGCUUGUUUAGCAGUUGUCUAGAGUGCAGAAUACUGAAAAUGAUUAGGCCAUGGUGGUGUUCAUUACCUUAGCGUCUUCCUUUUGAACUAAAUAGUGAUACCUUCCGGACCUGAGUCUGAAGCAGGUCCACUCAGAGUAGUGCAGGCCAGUAGGCUAGGCUUGCAAACAUGUUCUGAAGCAUCCAGGUCCUUUCAAGUGGAGAUGAAGCACGCAGGUACCUUGUGACUGCACUCUGUGGUGAUGACCAGUGUACAGUGGAUCUUUGGUCCACACUAAUCUCUACUCCCAUUUGGUUACACUCAGCAGUUUUGACUGCACCAGAGACUUCUAAUAGGGUCAGUCCUAGACUCACACACAUGGCCUCUAGCAACAUACAGCCUGCCUACCCACACUGAGCACAGUCUGUAUGGGAGAGAGCUAUCCCAGGAAUAAAGGUGAGCUUUGUUCUGUCUUGAAGCUGUAAUUCAUGGGUGAUGUCAGGAUCCUAAAGCCACGGAGAGAAACCAAAGCAGCAGCACCAUGGCCGCCUGCUUGCAGGUGGGAUGGGCUACCCAGGACCCAGUGCUGGCAGCCCUGCCUCAAAACAGAUAAAAAAAAAAAAAAAAAAAAAAGGGCCCAGUACGUGUGGUCUGAAUUUCCUGGAGACAGUUGACUUCCCAGAUACUCACUUUCUCAACAAACUCAAUUAUCUGACUUAACUUCUAAGUAGGGGGUGGGGACAAUACGUGUUACCUCCCUUCCUAAGCCUUUCCCUUGGACAUUUAAGGAAAGACCCACUAGGUUAGACCUCUGGUAUCGAGGAAACUGAUCCUUCCCAAAGCAGUGGUCCUUAAGCCCAGCAAACUGACUGAGGCGUUGAGUGAGUGCCAGCCUUGGGACAGACCUGGGGACAAGUGUGACAUGGGGACAAGUGUGACAUGGGGCAGGCCUGGGGACAAGUGUGACAUGGGGCAGGCCUGGGGACAAGUGUGACAUGGGGCAGGCCUGGGGACAAGUGUGACAUGGGGCAGCCCUGGGGACAAGUGUGACAUGGGGCAGGCCUGGGGACAAGUGUGACAUGGGGCAGGCCUGGGGACAAGUGUGACAUGGGGGUGGGUCUGGGGACAAGUGUGACAUGGGGGUGGGUCUGGGGACAAGUGUGACAUGGGGCAGGCCUGGGGACAAGUGUGACAUGGGGCAGGCCUGGGGACAAGUGUGAGCCAAGGGGCUUUGCUUGUUUGCUUUUGUUUUCUCCAGUGCUGAGCGCUCUAUUUUGUGAUUGUGAUAUGGUGAUGUGCAGUCCAUGUACCAAUAUCUUCACAAGUUAGGAUGAUGGUAAUAGUGUGUUUUGGUUUUUUUUUUAAAUGUUUGGGGGAAAAGUAAAUUAUAAAUACAAACUUAAAGCGC
rnacentral:lncRNA from 1 species